rnacentral:rRNA from 1 species
GAAUUUUAUAUAUAAAAAUUAUUAAUUAUAAUUAAUUAUAAAUAUGAAUAAAGUUAUAUAUUUAGUUGGGAGGAUUAUUAAAUUAGUUGAACUUUAAUUAAAAAAAAAUAUUAAUUAAUAAAUAAUAAGUUUUAUUUAAGGAAGGAUUAGAUUUUAAUUGAAUAAGAAUUAAUUACCUUAGGGAUAACAGCGUAAUAAUUUUGGAAAGAACAUAUUAAUAAAAUUGAUUGC